UAGCUCAGUGGUAGAGUACGUGCCUAGCAUGCAUGAGGUCCUGGGUUCAAUCCCCAG
rnacentral:tRNA from 1 species